rnacentral:rRNA from 1 species
CCAGAGAACUUAGCAGAGAUGCUUUGUGCCUUCGGGAACUCUGAGACAGGUGCUGCAUGGCUGUCGUCAGCUCGUGUUGUGAAAUGUUGGGUUAAGUCCCGCAACGAGCGCAACCCUUAUCCUUUGUUGCCAGCGGCUCGGCCGGGAACUCAAAGGAGACUGCCGGUGAUAAACCGGAGGAAGGUGGGGAUGACGUCAAGUCAUCAUGGCCCUUACGGCCAGGGCUACACACGUGCUACAAUGGCGCAUACAAAGAGAAGCGACCUCGCGAGAGCAAGCGGACCUCAUAAAGUGCGUCGUAGUCCGGAUUGGAGUCUGCAACUCGACUCCAUGAAGUCGGAAUCGCUAGUAAUCGUAGAUCAGAAUGCUACGGUGAAUACGUUCCCGGGCCUUGUACACACCGCCCGUCACACCAUGGGAGUGGGUUGCAAAAGAAGUAGGUAGCUUAACCUUCGGGAGGGCGCUUACCACUUUGUGAUUCAUGACUGGGGUGAAGUCGUAACAAGGUAGGCGUAGCGAG